GCUCUCUUCUCUCCUUAGAUGAGGUUCGGAGCGAGCGUGACCCCGCCAAAUCCAAAGUCCUAGGACGUGUUCUGCUGUGACUAAGACAACAAGCAUGCGUGUGAUCAGUCGAGAUGCGACCCUAUCUCUGCUUGAUGUGGACGACGGCAAGGCUCGAGACAUCGACUGCGCGACUUAUAGUUCAGCUAUGGGAUUGACGAGAGCAGAGGAUGCGAGACGAUAUGAUGCGAGCGCCGGAGGAGGCCUUGGAGGUCACGCGACCUAUAAGUCGGGUAUUGAGGGUGAUAGUUGAGUCUGUACUUGGGGGUUGGCUGAGUUUGUUUAUAGGGUUCGAACCUAACCUAGAGACCUUCUUGUGGUGUUGGCUUGGGGGCGGUCGAACACUAGUUUAAUCAUUAUGUUGUAAUUUGAAAGAAUCAUUGUACGCUUCCGAAGCUUUUAUUAAUAAAAUGAA